rnacentral:rRNA from 1 species
CGGACCGGCGCACGGUGAGUAACGCGUAUCCAACCUGCCCACCACUUGGGGAUAACCUUGCGAAAGUAAGACUAAUACCCAAUGAUAUCUCUAGAAGACAUCUGAAAGAGAUUAAAGAUUUAUCGGUGAUGGAUGGGGAUGCGUCUGAUUAGCUUGUUGGCGGGGUAACGGCCCACCAAGGCGACGAUCAGUAGGGGUUCUGAGAGGAAGGUCCCCCACAUUGGAACUGAGGCACGGUCCAA